rfam:TPA: Bos taurus chromosome 2, whole genome shotgun sequence.
UCCCAGGUAUCUCAGUAGUUAGAGAAUCUGCCUGCAAAGCAGGAUACGCAGGAGAUUCAGGUUCAAUCCCUGAGUCAGGAA